AUUGAACGCUGGCGGAAUGCUUUACACAUGCAAGUCGAACGGCAGCACGGGGCAACCUGGUGGCGAGUGGCGAACGGGUGAGUAAUACAUCGGAACGUGCCCAAUCGUGGGGGAUAACGUAGCGAAAGUUACGCUAAUACCGCAUACGAUCUACGGAUGAAAGCGGGGGAUCGCAAGACCUCGCGCGAGUGGAGCGGCCGAUGUCAGAUUAGGUAGUUGGUGGGGUAAAGGCUCACCAAGCCAACGAUCUGUAGCUGGUCUGAGAGGACGACCAGCCACACUGGAACUGAGACACGGUCCAGACUCCUACGGGAGGCAGCAGUGGGGAAUUUUGGACAAUGGGCGCAAGCCUGAUCCAGCCAUUCCGCGUGCAGGAUGAAGGCCUUCGGUUGUAACUAGCUUUGUACGGUAACGAAACGGACGAGCUCUAAUACAGUUUGCUAAUGACGGUACCGUAAGAAUAAGCACCGGCUAACUACGUGCCAGCAGCCGCGGU
rnacentral:rRNA from 1 species